UCCGGUAUGGUGUAACGGCUAACAUUGCCGCCUUUCAUUCCAGAAUUCGCACGUGUGCGCGGCAGCUCGGGGUUCGAUUCCCCGUACCGGAG